rnacentral:lncRNA from 1 species
UUUCCCUACCUCUCACAUACACAGUGGGCUGGAUGCUGGAUGCAAAGCUCCCUCGUCACAGCCCCAAAGACAGGACUUGACCAUCUCAGUGCAAUGACCCUGUGGUGCCUUCUCCCGAGGACCUAAGAGCCCCCUGAGCGCUUGCAAACACUGCAGACAAAGCGAGCCCUGGCACCAGCUCCCUGCCUGCCUGUUCUGUGAAGGGAGCCUACAAAACUGGCAGCCCCUGCAGUUCUGAGCUGCAGAACUGAUGAGCUGGGGCACCCUGAAACCUGACUCCAAAAUAGCAGCAAACCCAAGGCCAAAAGGAAGACAAGCGAGAAUCCCCCAAAAGCCAAGGUCAUCAUCAAGCCAGGAUGAGGACUGGAGGAGGAGCUGACAGCUCUGCCUCAAAUGGAUUUGGGAGCGAAGGCUUUUUCCAUAAGCUUUGGGGGUAAGUCACAGAGCUACCCCAAAUGUAACUUAGUCUCGGGGUCUCCUUCCUUUUCACCAGCUGUCCCCUUUGCUGGAGGAAGCUUUCCAGCCCAAACGAAGGGCUUAAGAGGAGUCUGGCCAUUCCUGGCAUCCAGUUAGACCUGGAGGAGGUGAACGGAGGAGAAGCCUGAGGGAGGGGUGUGUAUCCGGCCUGGGAAUUCCUCCCUCUCCCUUGCUAGCGCCCCAACCCGCCCUCAUCCUGUUCAGAGAGGGCACUUACAGGCCUCGGAGGCAGGGGAGGGUCUCCUCCUGGGGAACCAUCCCCGUCCAGAUGGUGCCCCCAACCAGCUGCGGCGGCAUGAUCUGGGCGGCUGGUCCAGGGCAUGGGUUGCGGAUCGUGUAGGGAAGAGGGGAACAGCAGUCGAGACCCUACUCCAAGUACGCAUCAAAGACGUCGAGCUCCGAGUCAGCAUCGUAAAGGCCCGAGCCGGGGUCGGAGAGCACGCCGAGGUCCACGAGCGCCUGGUCCAUGUCCUCGGGCAGGAAGACGAGGCCCACGUUGAGGACGAUGUACUCCAUGAGGAAGGCGUAGUACAGGAUCAGCACAUUGACGAAGAACAGGCCCACGUAGAACAUAGAGGGCAGCAGCGGCGGCGGCACGUAGGGGACCAGGGGGCCCAGUGCGUCCAGGUGGGCCGCGACCCGGGCGCCGAGCAUGCAGCGGGUGGCAAGGGCGGCGGCCCGGCGAUCCCGGCGAACUCAGCCGCUGCGGCGCCCGGGCGGCCGGCGAGGGCACAGCGCAGCCAUCCAGGGGUACCCUGGAGCCCGACAGAAGCAGGGCCGGGCUCCAGAUGUCCCCUGGCAAUUGCGCCCCGACCCCCGAAAUGCGCCGGGCGGGUCACCGCACCCCGAGAUGUGCCCCCAAGGAUCUCUCGACCGCCCGGGCGGCGAGGCGGGCCCCCCUGAAGUGGCCCGCGGCUGCCCGGCUCCCUCGUGGCGCCUCCCUGGCGCUCGCAGGGCCUCGCAGAGCCGGUGGGGAUCCCACCGCGGCUCAGUGUCUAGGGCCGGUCCCGGCAGCCUUCUCUCCCGCCCCGCCCCGCAGGUCCUCGCGCACCCCCCGCGCCCCCGCAGGCCCAGCACCCAUGGCUGCGGCCGCCGCGUAGCCCUCCCGGUGGCGCUCGGAGCUCCGCCUCCCGAGGGGCCCCGAGCUCAUUGGCAGGCCGCCCCCUGCACGCGCUAAUUGGCCGGCUCAACGCCCGCGCUGAUUGGCUCCGGCCGCCAGGGGGCGGGUACCGCUUCGCUCCGCCCCUCGGGGCCCUAGCGUCUGAGUUGCUUUCCUGGUUCGGGUCUGCCCUCAGAUCUCAAAUCGAAUUCGCUCUGCGUAUCGAAUAGGGGGAGGUAAAAGAGACUGAACACAGUUCAAACCUAGACAUAAUGCUAAGGCCGCAAAAGCCGAAGGAAACCCGGGCUACCGCUGCACCUUGCUGCAUGCCUCUUUGGGACUCCGUUUCUCCUUUAAAAGGAGGCGGGGUCGGGGAGGGGCGACGGACGGUUGCCCUGGAAAUUUUGGACAUUCCCAAAGCGCCAAUUUUCAUGGUGGAGAUCCACCAGUGUCCCCUUCGCUUCUCCAAACUCUGGUUGCUGGAAGGUCCGCCCACUACGGAACCUGCAUCCUAGAGUUAAGGAACACCUGAAUAAAGAGAUUCCGAGGUAGUUCAGAUCUUCAACCAUAA